rnacentral:lncRNA from 1 species
AAAAAAAAAAAAAAACUGUUGGCAUCAUCCUAACCAAGUAAAGCAGAAAUCUCACUGAGCUGCACUUUUACAUAAACACUUGCUAGGAUAUGGUCACUUGCCAACAGAACUCCUACUCUUAGUCAUGAGAAGCUCGGUCAGAGAUUUGGGCCCCUCAAAAUCAUCUGAGAAGGAUCUCACAUUAGGCGUGCAAGCAGUGGAGUGGCUAAAACUUGAGUUGGAUUUACAUUUCUCUUCUUUUAUCUGAGCAAGGGUCUUCGGCCCAGUAAAAUCUGCAGUAGGAUGUUCAGAAGAUUUAGCAGAAAGAACAUGCUGUUGCUUUCCUCUAUUUUUCUUCCUCCGUCCCCUGAAAGUAGCAUGGUUAGCAGGUUGAGGACACUCUCCCAUCAAAUAAUCUUUCCUUUGACGAGUUGGCAUUGAUUCAAUCUGUUGAGUACUAUUCUUGGGUUCAAGGCAACGGCUUCUCUUAAUGCAAUCCUUCUUUCCCUUUGCACCUUUUCUAUUCUCAGGUCUUCUUUUUGAGAUGUGUCUAAUCUGGGUGUGCUGAUGAACAAAGUUAGUAUCUGCCACUGAGCUGGUGAAGUUUCUGGGAUUGAAGAACCUUCUGUCAUAUUCAUCAGAAGUGACCUCAGUAUUUUGUGGUAGUAAAUGCCCCAAAGUGAUCUCACUUUCAUGCUCAUGAGCUCCGUUAGGCUGGCAAAGAUAAAGGUAACCUUGCCGAUCAUCAAGACCACAAAAUUCUGGUUCAUAGUUAUAGUACUCUGGAUCAUGGUAAUACAUAUCAUAAAGAACUGGAUCUCUAAUACCAUAUUCUGCAUGAAGCACCUUAUUAUCACUCUCUGUAGUCAAUUGAUGUUCAAGAUCACUCUUGUUAGAGAGGCAAUCAUCCACAAGCACAUCAAAUCCAGGAGAGGAAUCACGCUCAUCUUGUUCUGUGUGGUCCAUAGUUGAAUCUCCUGAAUUAAGAUCUGAGACUGCGGAACAUUUCAUGUAUUCAUCUAUAUCAGUUGAUGUUUCAAGUGCACCGGAAACAGCUUCAGCUUCACCAAAUUCAGGAUUGAUUGACACAGGAACUUCUUUUAUAUGGCAAGAGGUAUCUUGACAGGGAUUUGUGAUAGUGUCUUUCGAUUCUUCAACCAUCUCAUCUCCAACAUAACUUUUACUUACAGCAGGAUUGGAAGUGGUAGCUUUACAAGAAGUUCCCACAGCAUCAUUAGAAGUUAGAGGCUCAUGGAGGUAGGGGCAAUUGUCACCUUUUGAACAGUGCGAGUUAUAGUAGAAAUAACAAGGGUUAGCUGCCUUGACAGAAGUAGAACACAAUGAGAGUGGGUCUGCUAAAGAUUUGGUUUUGUUUAAGUUUUCCAGUGGCUGCACCGAAAGGAGCUAAUCAGAUAACACGCAGCAACAGAUGAGCAAUGAUAACAAAAAUAGCAACGGUGUCAUUCAAAAUCACAUAGCUGGAAGAUCUAAUAAGAAGAUAGGGUUCCAAUAAUCAGUCAAAUCAUUUCAAUGCAUAACAUUAGAGCAUAAAACUGUGGACAAGAAAAUUCAAUCAAUACUUCUGAGUUACUUAACAAAGAAACGGACCAUGACCAACCACUCAUGGUUGUAGUACUGAAAUACCAAAACUUGAUCUCUUAUUUGUCCAUUUGGCUCACUAACAUAAACAGAGACAAAAAAAAAGAAAAAGAAAGUUGGGUCAAUUGGCCCUUUGUUCCUGAAUUUUCCUCAUUAGAUGAGAGCAGUGGCCUCCAAACCGUCGGGGGCACAACACAAAAUAAAACUACACUGCGACUCAUGUGAAACAAAAAAUUUCAUAACAUCAUCGCUAUGGCUAAACUGGCAGACAGGCCCUCAUGCAAGAUGGACUCAAGGGUUGGAGCUGUACAUGGUGGCAUCAGGAAAUGUACAAUUGUUAGUAUCAAGCAAUUGCUCACAGGCAGACAUGUUAUCCCAGAACCAAGUCAUCUUAUCCCAACAUUUUCCUCAAGUUUCGUGGUUCUUCCCCCAUCCAAGUUAACACGAUAAAUGUACAACAAUGGCAUCAAUCACCACUAAUAACUAGCAAAGCAAAGUAUGAAUCCUUGGCAUCCGAUACGAAGCGAAGGGUAUCGAACCGAGUGACCGCGGAUUACUCACGGGGUGACGAAAUGUGCAGCUCGGGUUGACGCAGUUGCCCUUGAACCAGUACCAGCAAUUCCGGCGGUUGAACCGGGCGCCAUCGGCAUGGCGGUACUCGCACUUGGACCCCUGCAACCAAAAACCCACGCGCUCAAUACGCGGCGCGCUCCGGACGGAUGAUCAACCAGCGGCGGCAUCCACCGCCAUGCCGGAAACGCGGAAUCCGUGAGAAGAAAAAAAGUGAGCUAGGGUUUUGGGGAAGUUGGGUGGACUAGUACCUUGGUGCAGGUGAAGGGGGAGGCGAGGAAGUAGACGCAGUCGGUGUUGCACCUCCUCCAGCGCGGGUCCUCAUCGCCCUCCGCCGCGGCCGCCAUUGCUCCACUUCCUCUCUCGGCUCUCCUCUCCUCUCCGCGGGAGGAGGGAUGAGGAGGAGGCGGCGGCGGAGGAAAAGCGGAGCGCGACGGCCGGGGAGGAAUGGAGUGGUGGGUCCCUCUCGGUUUUUGAACUUGUCGAUGCGUGGAGUGGAGCCGUGGAGCAGUUGAACCGGCAGUCUCUCUGUGCUUAGAAUGCCGGUGGGUCACGCUCCUAAAUUUUUCACCUUUUCUCACAGAAAACUUAUUUUAGGCCCUAUUUAGUCCCCACACAAAAAUUUUAUACCCUAUCACAUCGAAUGUUUGAACACCUACAUUGAGUAUUAAAUAUAGGCUAAAAAAUAACUAAUUAUACAUAUUGCGACUAAUUUGCGAGAUGAAUCUUUUAAGCCUAAUUUCUCCAUCAUUUGACAAUGUGGUGCUAGAGUAAACAGUUGCUAAUGACGGAUUAAUUAGGCUUAAUAAAUCCAUAUCACGGUUUUACUAACGGAUUCUGUAAUUAAUCUUUUUAUUAGUGCCCGAACACCCCAUGCGACACUCUAUAUAAUACCCGAUAUGACACGCCAAAACUUUACAUCCCUGGAUCUAAACACCCCCUUACAAAUAAAUCAAUAAAAAGUAAUUCUAUAAGUGGAUACUAUUCACAGUUUUCACGGCGUUAGCGUCAUUAACGCCGUCUGUUCCCUCACGCCUCCCCUCCCCCCCAAUUGAAGCUAAAUUACUGAUGUGAAUGGAGAUGCGCUAAUGUCAUUUGCACCGAUAACCUAUUUGUAGUUCUUUUGAAACAUAACCUAUUAUUUUAUUACAAAUAGAUCUUCAGCAUCAAUUUCAUUGGCAUUGAGUUAUUUACAAAUAGAUAUUUUUUGAAUAUUUUUUACAAAUAGGUCUUCGGCGUCAUAACAUUAUCACCAUCUUCUUCCAAUUAGUGACUUGACUUCCACGGUAGACAAGAAGGAUGACGCCAACAUCAUUGAUACUGUCAUGUUAGCUCAUGGCGCUAAGGAAUUUGACGCCACGAAAAGGAUCCAUUUCUAAAAGGGCAAUAUAAGUUUUUCAAAAGAAACCUCUGGCCUAUGUGGGUCAAUUUGUCGUGUCCUCCCUCCCUCCCUCCCUCCCAGAAAACUUAUUUUGGAAAUUGUUAUCUUCUUCAGCUAUGCUGGCCGCAGCAAAAAAAAAAAAAUUGAUCCAAUCAUCAAGUAAUACUGUGUCUUCCCUGGAUUGAGAUCGAAUGAGCUGAUGGCAGACGCUACGUCUUGAGUUCCCAGAAUAACAAUGACAUGCAAGCAAUGCUGUUUACACAAUGUCAUUGGGCAGGAGAAAAUCAAUCCAAUUUACGCUUAUUAACCGCGAGGAAAAAAAAUCAUCCCUCAAUAUGCUGAAACGAGAGGUGAUACAGCUAUGGAUUCGCAAUGACAAAAUUUCUCCAACCCCAAAUAUUUCAGUAUCCAUCUAAAUCUCAUUUUCCAUCUAACAAAAUGGAGGUACAUGCAGUUAGCGAUGACAACUCUUCCUGCGUCGCAGAUCCGAAACCUUGCCACCUCACUCUUCCGAGGCGAUCAACCAGGUAUAUGUACCUGCAGUAGAAGAGUUUGAACAAAGGGAGAGAACAAAACAUAUAAACGAAGGGAAGGAGGAAACAUCGCCCAGUAUGUGGUAACCAGGACCUUUACAUCUAAAGUUUGCCAAACGAACAACGGGAAGGAAGAAACAUUACCCAGUAAGAAGGUUAAGGAUAUGAAGCUUCUUCCUGAAAUAAUAGUGGUCACCAAAGGCAUAUACAGCAUGUCUCUGUGGAUUGUUGGAUUUUGUCAUCACCUUGAGGAAUACUUGUCUCACAGGACUUGAUGAUAACAGCCAUGAAUCAAUAAAUGAGACCUGAACCAUAGUUUUUUUUUCCCUUUCAGUUGCAGCCAUGUGUAAUGUACAUAAAUUUCCUCAGCAAUAUCAAAAGUUCUAAAUUUAAAAUUGCCAAGUAUUAGCAUGGUCGGCUUGUCGUGGUAUUCCAUCACAAAUUACAAUAUUAGUACAGGGUUCCUUUUGUGUUGACAGUUAACACGAAUUAAUUGUAAAGUGUAAACAUGGGCAUAGAUUGAAUAUUUGAAUUGCAUAAAAAAUGAACUCGUAAUACUCCCUCCGCCUCAAACUACUGGUUAGUUUGUCCUAAGUCAAACAUUUAUAUCUUUGGCCAUCAAUUUCUAGAAAUUCAUAUAGUAUAAUAUCAUAGGAUUUCUAUUUUUAGAUUCAUCAUGAGAAAUACUUUCUAAUAUAUAAUUCACAUGCUAAACUAUACGAAUUUCUAGAAAUUUGAUGGUCAAAGAUAGAAAUGUUUGACUUAGGAUAAAGCUAGAAUGACAAGUAAUCUGAAACAGAGGGAGUAACAAAAACUACACAUUAUGGCACUAUAGUAUAUUUGCAACCCGAGAUCAUCCAAGUGAAAUGGAGAGGAGAGCUAAACAUAGAAGCAGAUACAAUCUGUUCUGUUUAUUUCUCUAAUCUAUAACUAUCAGGUUUAUGUACUUAUGUAAUAUUGUAGGACAUGUCAAACAUCAUUUAACUAAUUAUGUUCCUCCUUUUCUCAGUGGUGAUUCGCAUGGACUUAUGGCAUAAGGCAGUUCACAGCUGAUAACCCAAAUUAUGUUCAAAUACCUCAUACACUUGAAUAUUCCCAGCAGAACUAAAUGCAUCAAGAAAAGGUAGGCUCCACGUUUCUGCCAUUUUCUGUUGAACAGGAGGAAUCUAGUUAGCCAUAGAACAACUGAGUGUAUAAAAAAUCAAACAAAAGAUCAACAAGAAUGGAAUUGGCAUGUAUGAAAAUAGCAUAAAACCCAGUUGGUUGAACAUGCGUAGUUGUAGUUAUCCAUUGGAAUGCUUGAUGCAUUUGUCCUUUUAGAACCAGAUAGUAAUAGUUAAUUUAAUUCCAUAAACUAUUUCGCUGGAGUAAUUAAUCCCCUGAUUAUUUUUCAUCCACUUUGCUCAACGAACUAUUAUACCAGGUCACUACUUUGCUAAUGAAUUUUGUCUUCUUUUCUAAUUAUCAGGUUUUCACUUUAAUCAAAAUGUUGUGGGAUGACGGACGGCGUCACAGCGCAUGUUACAAAAAUAAUUUCAGAGUUUUUCAUGUCUGUUUUAGAGGAGUCCUUUUUUUUCCUUUUUUUUUUGGGGGGGGGGGAUGAACCUUAUGCAGAAGAGAGAAAAAAACUGAGCAUAGACAACAAGAGAAACGGAAACAUUAUAGCUUGAUCUAGUUUGCCAAUUUAAGUGGGUAAGAGAACCAGAAAUGACAUCAUUUUUGUUAUAGCAAGGCUUGGCUCAAGUUAGCGAAGCUAUUGUGAAAGAGAUAAUCCAAGAAAUGCCAUUGACAAGCGUCCAAGUCCCAGAAAUGCCAUCGACAAGUGUGAGUUCCAAGAAAUGCCAUCGUACAAACGACUUUGUCCCAAAAAUGCCAUCGCCGUUAGGGUUCCGUCCAUUUUACACCGUUAAAUACACUGUUCAUCCUAUAGAACUUAACGGCGCAAAAUGGAUGGAACCCUAACGGCGAUAGCAUUUUUGGGACAAAGUCGUUUGUACGAUGGCAUUUCUUGGAACUCACACUUGUCGAUGGCAUUUCUGGGAUUUGGACGCUUAUCAAUGGCAUUUCUUGGAUUAUCUCAUUGUGAGAUGUUAACUACAGGUUGAUCUUAAAUUUGCUAAGAGAAAAUAUGCAUUUAACAAACCCAACCAAGUGUUGCUCUUUUCUUUUUAAAAUCUAGAGGCUGCUCUAACAGCAGCUGUGCAAUAUUCAAAAUUUUUUUUUUGAGGAACACUAUUAAAAUUACGAAAUACAACCAUCUAAACCAGGAGCUUUAAAUUUCAGUAGGUAAAAUGUUCAUGAGAAAUGACAAACAUUAAGAGGCAAAACAAAGAUUAUUUCUGUACAAACCCAUUGGUACACAUUCAAGACAUACACUAGUCCAAGUGCUUACAAAAAUGGAAAGACAAUUAAACAAGCUAUUCAUUAACUCCUGACUUUAGUAAAGAUAUAAGUACAUCUCGUUGAAUCAUAAUGUGGGUGUCUAGCAAGUACUGUAUGACUGAAAAGCACAACCUCGUAAGCCAUGAAGCGUGUAUCAAAAAGUGCAAGCAAGCCAUAUACGACAACGAUGGGAACAGAUAUCUGAUAUACAGAUGGGAAAUCCGUAAAUGAAGAUAUAAUUCACCAUACCUGGGAGCUUGCGCGAAAGGAAAGGCACACCAAUGAAGCAUCAGGAACCACCAUAUCACCAGCCUUACAAUCAUCAUUUUGUGUGUCCACUGUAUUGCCAGUCUGGGGAUCAUCGUUUCGCGGAGGUGCGACAAGCGGCAAAUUCACUGUCCUGCCAUCAGGGGACUUCACAGAAAGAUCAGGGAACUUCACGGCUGCGAUUUCCGGAAUGAUGAUCUUAUUCGCUGUCGCAAGCUGCACAAUCCACGCCACAACGAAGAGUUGAUUAAACCUCAUCAGCAGCUAAAGAUGACGGACAUCUCUACCCAGCAUUGCAACAUAAACACAGUGAAACAGAAUAAUCUUUACGACAACAUAUGCACACCUUGCCGCCGUUCUUGCGUAUCUCUGCGAUGUCGGCGAAGUACCCCCUGCUCAUUUCAUCCAUACUGCACUAGAACAACAGUUAAGAGAGAUCUUAAACAUCACAAUUCACACAUUUGCUCCAAAAAUUCCAUGCAGUACUAGCCCCGAUUGCCAAAGGUAGUGGAAGUAGCCUUACAGCCUGGCCUUAUCCUUCUCCUUCUUCUCGAUGGUCUCCUUACUCGCCUUCUACCCACCACCAAAAAAAAAAAACACAACCACCCCAACCCAUCAGCCGCCGCUGCAGAGAGAAGCAAGUAGAGGAUGAGACACCAGAGAGGCCAUACGAACCAUGUUGAGGCCGAGGAAGCCGCGCGCGAAGACCGCGCGCGCGGCGAGCGAAGCCUCGCCAGAGCUAGCGCGGCGCAGCAUCCCCGCCGCCCACCGUGCCCUCAUCAUCGCCGCCGCCGCCGCCGAUCUAACCGGUGAAGAGGAGGACGGAGUAGUAGUAGUAGUUUACAUGGGCCGCCGGCUAAUCUCGUUAUGGGCCGAACAAACAAAAAAAAAAUUCAACUUUACGCUAUCGCAGUUAGAAGACGUAAAAUAACUUUACGUAUUCGCUUCUGUUAUUGUGCCCGUGGUGAUAGAAACCGCCGAUCCGGAUUCCAAAACCGGCGGCGCAAAUCACAAGCGAAGCAAAGCAAAACACGCCUUCGCCUUCGAUUCGAUUCUUCUCCACUCCGGCCAUGGCGUCCGCCGCGUCCUCCUCCUCGUCGUCGACUCAAUUCGAGUAAGCCCCCCUCCCCAAUCUCAUCCUGCUCAAAGAUCUCUCGCAUCUCACGCGUCGGUGCGCUUGAUGCAGCGAUGCGGCGGCGAGGCGUCAGCAGCAGCUGCAGCAGCAGCGGAAGCCGCCGUUGCUGAUGCUGCUCCCGCUCAUCUACGCCCCGGUGCUCCCCCUCAGUACGGAAUCGCGAACCCCUGUGAAAUUCGUGGUUUGUUUGCUCGGAUGAUCGUGCUGCUGAUUUAGGGUUUGCGGGGUUUUUUUUUUUUUCGUUGUGAACAGUUAGGAUUGGGUUGCGGCACAACCCGGUGUGGAGGGAUCGCCUCUUCUACGGCGUCCUCGCCGGCGCGUUCGCCCACGGCACCUACCUCAUGUAAGUGUUUGCUACAUUGCGCACCCGAGCUCCUGUAUGCAGCUAUGCACCGUGUAUUUGCUUGUGAUGGUUCAUGUUCAUGUAUGAUUCGUCAUUCAUGUACAAUGCCAGGUUAUUGUGAUUGAUAUCUCCCUGGUUUUAUUAGCUGUCUGAUAUGCACGAGGUAAAGCGAUGUAUUGUUCUGAUUACUUCGAAGGGGAUGUGUAUGUGUUUGUGCCUAGUUGUUAUCGGUGAGGCUUCUCAGAAAGGGUGUAAUUCCGUUAGAAUACGAUAUGGCAGCUGUUGAGUUUUUCAGCACGUGUAGUAUGUAUAUAUGGCUAAUAUAUCUGUUUGUUAAGUAGUAGUAUAUAUGAUAGCUAUGCAAUGACCUGUUCUCUGUUUUCUCUAAUACAAAUGCUUCACGCGGACUGUUGUACCAUAAAUGAUUUCAAUGUCUGCCGCUUGCCAAAAAUCUGUAGUUGUGAUCACUGCAAAGGAACUAUUUUUAGUUCUUCUCCCAUGCUCACAGAAAACCUUGGGGGAAGAUUUUUGGAACUCAGUACACAACAACAGUUUUAUAUUGCUUUGAGUAUAACCAAAAUUGAUGUGAUUGGGUGACUUGGCGAGUCAGCCAUUACUGAUUAAGCACAUGAAGCAUGGAUUCUUUAGUAGAAUUUAAUCUCAGCAAUCUUGACAAUCAACUAUGGUGGUAUAAUCUUCUUUACAGUUUUUUCCCCCGAUUACUGCAAAGGGAAGACUUGAUGUAUUUGCGCCUACUGCCUAGUUUUCACUUAGGAUGUUACUAGUAAGGGUUGUGAUAUUUUGGCAAUGAAUUGACUUGUAUCACAACACUUGAGUGCUUGUACCUUCAUAAUGUGAGUUUGAGCAUGAGGAAAGGUAGAUGCAUCCAAUCGUAGCAGUAUUUUGUUUUCUGCUUCAACCGAGUUGCUGCACAUGGUUUCUGCCAUUAUAUGGUUCCAGACUUUUUGGGGCUUACUAAUGUAAUACUGCUGUGGAAGUGUGGAGUUGAGGUCACUGCAGAGAAAUUUUAGUCUAGUGUAUAUCCACUUUAGAUAUGAAUUUAGUAAUUGAGUAUUGACAGAUUUUAUAUAAAAGAAGGAAGUUUGGGCCUAAAUAACUACUCCCGCCGUUAUUAAAUGUUUGCUGCUGUUGACUUUUGGGCAUGAUGUUUGACCGUUCAUCGUAAAUGUGCAAAAAUAUAAGGCAUGCUUAAAGUACUUUUAGUGAUAAAACAAGUCACAACAAAAUAAGUGAUAGUUUUUUGAAUAAGACAGAUGAUCAAACGUCAUGUCCAAAGAUCAACAUCACUCAUACAUUUGAAAAUGGAGGUAGUAGGCCAUAAUUUUGGGCAUGUUACUGCUUGAUUGUGGUGAUCAUUUGAUCUCUGCACAAAUCUAUUCUUCAUAUCAUGCUAGAGGUUGGGUUAUUGAAGCCAUAAAUAUUCAACAAUAUGUCAUUAUGGUGAGCCUGUCAUGUUUGAUGGUGAGGCAAAGAAUUUUGUUGUUGACUUGUUUGAUGCCCUUCCAAUGUUUUUAAAACUUGUUCUAUCCCUAUCAUUGAAGUAAGCAGAUAUACCUUCUUCGCAAGGAUAAGCAUAGGUUACUCUAACGCCAUAACAGAGGGAUCUAUUGGGAUGUUAAUUAACGUAAUUCACAAUAGAUGUGCUUAUCUUCUUAUCUUUGAUGUACUUUCAGAUCGGAGCUAUAUGACGUAGAGAGCAAGUGAAUCAUAUCUCUCCAAGUAUAAAGUCAAGGGUAUCCAUCGGCAGAUUUUGACUUGAUUGUAAGUCAUCAACUGUUAAUGAGAGCUGUCCGGUUUUUCAGGUUGAUAAAAUGGACCAUGUAUCUAUCAUUUUUGUUAAUCCAUUUAGGCUUUUAUGGUUGCUGUAAUGAUAGAAUAUUGGAGCACACAUAAUAAUUCUGACUCUGGAGCAACAUGUCCGGCAUUUUUUUCCAAUUUGAUGCACUUGUGUUUUCCUGCUUAUAUUGAUUUGUCAUAGCCACCCUAUUUCUAUUCUAUCCAACAAAAAAUAUUUUUCUUUUCCCCUUUUAUUUAUAUGUAGCUAUAUUUCAAAGGAGAGCAGUUUCAACAUGUACGAGUAAUAUGAGAUCGCUCUUAUCAGGCCAUGUUUAGUUGGCCUGUGUGAUGUGCCAUUUUGUCCAGCUGAUCACGUUGUGCUGUGUUGCUCUUAACUCCUUGGUCUUGACGGUACCAAAAAUUAAUCCUAGAUGCAGAUUAUUAAUAUCUGUCUAUACUGAUGAAAGAAACGGGAACUUUGCCAAGCAGCAGCUGUUAUAUAUGCAUGCACUGGAUGGAUAUUUCCUUGAGCUCCCGUUGGACAAGAAAUGGUUUGAGCUCCCGUUGUUUCCUUGCUACCCAUGAGGCCAUGACAUAUCGACAUGCCCUUCCUUGCAAGUUCCUAACAAUUUCUACAAAAAGGAACAAUGAUUAAACAGAAGGAUUCCAAGCCUUCCUGUUCACUCCUGUCUGAAGCUUUUCGAGGUGUUUAGCAAGAGAGAAGAAAGUCACUGAUAUAAAAGCAAUUGAUCAUUUUUAUCACCCUAAUUUUAUCCAAACUAACAAGCGUAUCAUUAUGCUAUAAGCACAUUGUCGUAGGCAAUGAACACAAGAAUGAUUCCAUGUUGGCUAUAGCUGAAGCAUGGUCACAUUAGUUGAGGCAGGCUUUGCAGGCUGCUAAUAAAAUACGAUUUGGCCAAAGCUAAACAAAGCUGCCGCACGCGAUGGCCGGCCGGCCACUUGCCAACCAGUUGAACAUUUUUUUCAUUCUGCAAUCAGGAUUAUAUACUGAACAUGGAGUAGAUUACUCACGGGCAUCACUAUAAACGAGUGAUUAAAUUAAUCAAGGCAAAGUACGGCGAUGGCUAUUACAAACAGAUGGAGGUCAGAUUUGAUGCGAUGCGAUGCUUCACGGGAGGCUUCGUGUGUCUGCCUUUUGAGUAUAGAUCUGAAAUCUUGGGUGUAGGAUUGAGAGCAACGGGUUUUUUGAAGGAAUUUUGUAGAACUUGAACUAAAUUUGUGUAGAACUUCUGUAAAUCUAAAUCUAACGUGUUCGUUUUCAAUCCUUGGUGUUGGGAUUGAGAGCGACCAAGUUUUUGGAGGAAUUUUAUAGAACUUUGAAGUAAAUUUAUGUCAAAAUUCUGCAAAUCGAAGUCUAGUGUGUGCUCGGAAAGAUCAGUAAAGCGUAACGAGGAGAUGGUUUGGAUUGCAGCUUCACGAUGGGGACAAUAAACAGAUAAUAUAAUCAGUGUAGCAGCAUUAUUAUUCCGUUUGUUCGGGAUUAGUUUGUACUAUUAUUGUUGCUGAUGCCUGAAAGGGACAUGUAAUUGAUAAGCCUUACAAAAUGAACCUAACAAUACAUCUCAGAAUGGUGUGGUAGAUAUCACAAGUUCACAACCUAAUAAUAAUCAAAAUGAACCUAACAAUACAUCUCAGAUUGGUGUGAUAGAUAUCAAAACCUAAUAACAAUCAAAAUGAACCUAACAAUACAUCUCAGAUCUAUUUAAGAUCAUCAUCGGAGAGCACCUUUAAUCCGUAAUUAAUCAAAAUCACACCACACUAAAUCCGCAAUUAAUCAAAAUCACAACACAAACUACAAUACUCAUAGUGAAAUUGCUGAGACAUGGAUUGGAGAUCAGAAUUGGAUCCAAUCGAUUGGAAAUGAGCAGUACAACAAACCUAAUGGAUCUGAUGCAUCAUACUUCGCCACAAGCGAGUAGAUCUAUCUCAGAUCCAGAUUACAUUUCAUCUCGAGAUUACAAUUCGGGAGAAAACGCAAGAAAAAAAAAAGCAGAGAUGGAUGGAAGCAAGGGAUCAAUCCUAAAAACCAGAUCCCUUCUAAAUUCUUCUAAAUUUCCUCCGCAACGAGACGAAUCCCACCCCGGAUUUUAUAUACACGCCAUCGCGGCGACGUCGCGAGCUGUGGGCUCCAUCUCCCUCCUCCGGUGGCGGCGGCAGCGGCGCGCCUAGGCGGAGCGGGCGAGGCGGGAGGCGAUGGCGGAGUGGUACAUGGCGUCGUGGAAGCUCUCCGUCUCCACCAUCCUUGCGCGCAGCUCCCGCGCCUUCUCCUCCGUCAACCCGCCCACGAAC